rnacentral:rRNA from 1 species
UGGGGAAUAUUGCGCAAUGGGCGAAAGCCUGACGCAGCGACGCCGCGUGCGGGAUGAAGGCCUUCGGGUUGUAAACCGCUGUCGAAGGGGAGCAAAUUUGAGCGAUCCUUGGAGGAAGCACAGGCUAAAUUCGUGCCAGCAGCCGCGGUAAUACGAAUUGUGCGAACGUUAUUCGGAAUCACUGGGCUUAAAGGGUGCGUAGGCGGUCAUGUAGGUCUGAUGUGAAAUCCCACGGCUCAACCGUGGAACUGCGUUGGAAACCCCAUGGCUGGAGUAGGACAGAGGUGAGCGGAACAGAUGGUGGAGCGGUGAAAUGCGUUGAUAUCAUCUGGAACACCGGUGGCGAAAGCGGCUCACUGGGUCCUAACUGACGCUGAUGCACGAAAGCCAGGGGAGCAAACGGGAUUAGAUACCCCCGUAGUCCCUGAG